UACGGAGGGUGCAAGCGUUAAUCGGAUUUACUGGGCGUAAAGCGUGCGUAGGCGGUUUAUUAAGUCAGAUGUGAAAGCCCCGGGCUCAACCUGGGAACUGCAUUUGAAACUGGUAAACUAGAGUUUGGUAGAGGGUAGUGGAAUUCCAGGUGUAGCGGUGAAAUGCGUAGAGAUCUGGAGGAACACCAGUGGCGAAGGCGGCUACCUGGACCAAAACUGACGCUGAGGUACGAAAGCGUGGGGAGCAAACAGGAUUAGAUACCCCAGUA
rnacentral:rRNA from 1 species